CAGGAAAUCGUUAUUUGGUGAAAAAUAGCCUUGAACGUCCUAGCUUUGUAGGAACGCCUUCGGGCCGUACGCGAAAACGAAAAACUGAUAAUUUCACUUUCGGUCGGAAUUUCGAAAACAAGUGCAGCCCGAUAAAAGUGUGCCUCCCUGGCGGUUGGGACCUCAGUUAUAUCUAAUCGACCAUUUCGAGACGUCUGAAAAAUCUUAGUUUCCUAUCUUCUUUGAUCUCUUAUAGCUGCUGUUUGAGAACCACCAUCUGACUUGAGAUGCAACUGACAAGAGCAACCAACUAUGCUUUGAGGCUUUCUUAUACGCAGAGCAGGGUGGCCAAACAGGAAGGUGAAAAAAUAGUGGGCAAGUCUGCCCUCCUCAUGGCGAUUUGUGGGAUCACACUUUCCACGUUCAGCGUCAUGCAGAUGCUCGCAACAAAAGCGUCAAGAUUCUAAAGCCUCAAUCGAAAGCCGAGUUAUGCCUAGUCACCCAAUUUUGUUUCAGGAAAUGAUGAUUGUACAAGGACGAAGGUGGACUGCUGUCUCGGUGGAGUGAUCACUCCAGUCAUUGAAGAUUUAUUUUUUUCCCAUUAAACAUUGUUAACUUUUU
rnacentral:lncRNA from 1 species